UGGGGAAUAUUGGACAAUGGGCGAAAGCCUGAUCCAGCAAUGCUGCGUGAGUGAUGAAGGCCUUAGGGUUGUAAAGCUCUUUUACCAGGGAUGAUAAUGACAGUACCUGGAGAAUAAGCUCCGGCUAACUCCGUGCCAGCAGCCGCGGUAAUACGGAGGGAGCUAGCGUUGUUCGGAAUUACUGGGCGUAAAGAGUACGUAGGCGGCUAUUCAAGUCAGGGGUGAAAGCCUGGAGCUCAACUCCAGAACUGCCCUUGAAACUAGAUAGCUAGAAUCUUGGAGAGGCGAGUGGAAUUCCGAGUGUAGAGGUGAAAUUCGUAGAUAUUCGGAAGAACACCAGUGGCGAAGGCGACUCGCUGGACAAGUAUUGACGCUGAGGUACGAAAGCGUGGGGAGCAAACA
rnacentral:rRNA from 1 species